GAUGAACGCUAGCGGGAGGCCUAACACAUGCAAGCCGAGCGGUAGAGUUUCUUCGGAAACUUGAGAGCGGCGCACGGGUGCGUAACACGUGUGCAACCUACCUUUAUCUGGGGGAUAGCCUUUCGAAAGGAAGAUUAAUACCCCAUAAUAUAAUGAUUGGCAUCAAUUAUUAUUGAAAACUCCGGUGGAUAGAGAUGGGCACGCGCAAGAUUAGAUAGUUGGUGAGGUAACGGCUCACCAAGUCAAUGAUCUUUAGGGGUCCUGAGAGGGAGAUCCCCCACACUGGUACUGGGACACGGACCAGACUCCUACGGGAGGCAGCAGUGAGGAAUAUUGGACAAUGGGUGAGAGCCUGAUCCAGCCAUCCCGCGUGAAGGAUGACGGUCCUAUGGAUUGUAAACUUCUUUUGUACAGGGAUAAACCUACCCUCGGGAGGGUAGCUGAAGGUACUGUACGAAUAAGCACCGGCUAACUCCGUG
rnacentral:rRNA from 1 species